GUGUGGCCUUGCUGGAGUAGGUGUGGCCUUGCUGGAGGAGGUGUGGCCUUGCUGGAGGAGGUGUGGCCUUGCUGGAGGAGGUGUGGCCUUGUUGGAGGAGGUGUGGCCUUGUUGGUGGAGGUGUGGCCUUGUUGGUGGAGGUGUGGCCUUGCUGGAGGAGGUGUGGCCUUGCUGGAGGAGGUGUGGCCUUGUAGAGGAGGUGUGGCCUUGUAGAGGAGGUGUGUUGAUAGAGGCAGACUUUGGGGUUUCAAAUGCUCAAGCCAGGCCCACUGUCUUUCUGCUGCAUGUGGAUCCAGAUGUAGAACUCUUGGCUCCUUUUCCAACACCAUGUUUGCCUGUCACCGCCUGUCACCACACUUCCCACCAUGCAGAUAAUGGACCAAAUCUCUGAAACUGUAAGCCAGUCCCAAUUAAAUGCUUCCCUUCAAGAGAGUUGCCAUGGUCAUGGUGUGUCUUCACAGCAAUAGAAUCAUGACUGAGACAGCUAUCUAGGUUGGAUCUGAAACAAUAACAAGUUAAACCCUGAUAUAAUUUCUUCAACAACAACAGAUACAAAAGAGAAAAGCCCUUGCAUUUCCAUGUUCAGUGUGUGCAAGCUGACCUCCAUUCAUCUUUAAGGCCCUAUGGUCUUUGGGCUGGUUUGUCUUAGCCUCAGUGGCUGACGUGGUAGUCGAGAAUGGGAAGUCGUAUAGGACUUUCUGCUGCCAUAGCUUGUCCAUCGCACCUGUAGCCCGUUGCAUGCUGGGAGGUGAGUGGUAUUACUGUAUUAGCUUCCUUCCCAGUUGCUGUGAUAACUGUGUCAUCAGAGCUACUUAGAGGAGGGAGAGUGGAGAGUUUGUCACUUGCAGUUCCAGCUUCUCAACUGUCAUGGCAGGGAAGUCACAGCAGCUGGUGCUUGAGGGAGUGGGUCAUACCACAUCCUUAAUCAGGACCAGAGAGCAAUGAUUGCGUGCAUGCUUGCUCCUCUCCUGGCGCAGGGGAUGGUUCCACCCACAGCAGACCUUCCCAUCUCCAUUAAUGCAACCAAGGAACCCAACCCCCCUUAGGAACGCUCUGCCAACCUGAUCUAACAUUCUUUCAUUGAGACUCUAUUCUCAAGUCAUCCUAGAUUAUCAGUUAAAACUAAGCAUCAAUCAUUGUUCGCGGAGUGAUGAUUUGGAGUUACAUGAAUUUAGCUUAGCUAACACUUCCCAGAAUUCCCUUGUUUGUAUGGUUGUGUAUGUUAUUUUACAGAUAUUUUCAUGAGGUUUGGAUAACAGAUGGCAUUAAGCAGUGGCCACUUAGGAGGGAGCAGGUGACAGGUGCAACAAUGGCUUACCCUGGUCUCUUGGCUCACAUGCUGGCUGUGCGACCAUGAACUAGCCUUCUGCUCUCCAGCCCUCAGUGGACCUCUCCUUUAUCUGUCGUUAGUCCUGGGCUGGAGUACAUGCAAUUCCACAAAAAAAAAAAAAAGAAAGAAACAAAAAACAAAAAAGAAACAAAACCCCCAGAGGGUUUCGGUAAAGCCUACUCCGGUCAUGGUUGUCUGUCUGCCACGAGACUCUUGCAAUGCUGUGGCCUCUCGGGUGGUGGUGAAGUCUGCAGGAGAGAGACACUGUCACGUAGCUGCUGCUGCUUCUUCGUCGUCAUCUUCAUCUUCUUUGUCUUCGUCUUCGUCAUCUUCGUCGUCUUCGUCUUCUUCGUCUUCUCCUCUUUCUUCUCUUCCUUCUCCUUUUUCCUUUUCCUUCUUCCUCCUCCUUCCCUCUUCCUUCUUUUUCUUUUUGAAAAUAGAUGCUUUUAUUAUUAUUAGAAAGAAGCUUCUUUCACAUAUCAAUCCCAGUUCCCUCUCCCUC
ensembl:lncRNA